GGUAGCUGCAAGGUUAACUGGUCGGCGGUGUGCACUCCUACAUCACAUGGAGGACUAGGGAUCCUCGAUCUCGAGCGUUUCAGUCGCGCCCUUAGAUUGCGGUGGCUGUGGAUAUCCUGGACUGAUCCUGAACGGCCUUGGGUCGGCAUGGAGCCGCCAUGCAACAACAACGACAAAGCCCUCUUCACGGCGGCGACCACGGUGACCAUCGGCGAUGGCGCGUAG
rnacentral:rRNA from 1 species